rnacentral:rRNA from 1 species
GACAGAGGGGGCAAGCGUCGCUCGGAAUCACUGGGCGUAAAGGGCGCGUAGGCGGGUUGGCAAGUCAGUCGUGAAAUCUCUCGGCUCAACCGAGAAACGUCGGCUGAUACUGCCGUUCUUGAGGGAUGCAGAGGAGACUGGAAUUCCCGGUGUAGCGGUGAAAUGUGUAGAGAUCGGGAGGAACACCGGUGGCGAAGGCGGGUCUCUGGGCAUCUCCUGACGCUGAGGCGCGAAAGCGUGGGGAGCAAACGGG